rnacentral:misc_RNA from 1 species
UAUGAAGAACGCAGCAAAAUGCGAUAAGUAAUGUGAAUUGCAGAAUUCAGUGAAUCAUCGAAUCUUUGAACGCACAUUGCGCCCGCCAGUAUUCUGGCGGGCAUGCCUGUUCGAGCGUCAUUUCAACCCUCAAGCACAGCUUGGUGUUGGGACUCGCGUUAAUUCGCGUUCCUCAAAUUGAUUGGCGGUCACGUCGAGCUUCCAUAGCGUAGUAGUAAAACCCUCGUUACUGGUAAUCGUCGCGGCCACGCCGUUAAACCCCAACUUCUGAAUGUUGACCUCGGAUCAGGUAGGAAUACCCGCUGAACUUAAGCAUAUCAAUAAGCGGAGGA